rnacentral:rRNA from 1 species
GAAUUGACGGGGGCCCGCACAACCGGUGGAGCAUGUGGUUUAAUUGGAAGCAACGCGCAGAACCUUACCAGCUCUUGACAUCCCGAUCGCGGACAGUGGAGACAUUGUCCUUCAGUUAGGCUGGAUCGGUGACAGGUGCUGCAUGGCUGUCGUCAGCCCGUGUCGUGAGAUGUUGGGUUAAGUCCCGCAACGAGCGCAACCCUCGCCCUUAGUUGCCAGCAUUCAGUUGGACACUCUAAGGGGACUGCCGGUGAUAAGCCGAGAGGAAGGUGGGGAUGACGUCAAGUCCUCAUGGCCCUUACGGGCUGGGCUACACACGUGCUACAAUGGUGGUGACAGUGGGCAGCGAGACCGCGAGGUCGAGCUAAUCUCCAAAAGCCAUCUCAGUUCGGAUUGCACUCUGCAACUCGAGUGCAUGAAGUUGGAAUCGCUAGUAAUCGCAGAUCAGCAUGCUGCGGUGAAUACGUUCCCGGGCCUUGUACACACCGCCCGUCACACCAUGGGAGUUGGUUUUACCCGAAGGUAGUGCGCUAACCGCAAGGAGGCAGCUAACCACGGUAGGGUCAGCGACUGGGGUGAAGUCGUAACAAGGUA